rnacentral:rRNA from 1 species
UGCAGUCGCUCGAUGACUGGAGCUUGCUCCAGGGAUUAGUGGCGAACGGGUGAGUAACACGUGAGUAACCUGCCCUUGACUCUGGGAUAAGCGCUAGAAAUGGCGUCUAAUACCGGAUACGAGCUUCAGCCGCAUGGCUAGGAGUUGGAAAGAAUUUUGGUCAAGGAUGGACUCGCGGCCUAUCAGCUAGUUGGUGAGGUAAUGGCUCACCAAGGCGACGACGGGUAGCCGGCCUGAGAGGGUGACCGGCCACACUGGGACUGAGACACGGCCCAGACUCCUACGGGAGGCAGCAGUGGGGAAUAUUGCACAAUGGGCGAAAGCUUGAUGCAGCAACGCCGCGUGAGGGAUGACGGCCUUCGGGUUGUAAACCUCUUUUAGUAGGGAAGAAGCGAAAGUGACGGUACCUGCAGAAAAAGCACCGGCUAACUACGUGCCAGCAGCCGCGGUAAUACGUAGGGUGCAAGCGUUGUCCGGAAUUAUUGGGCGUAAAGAGCUCGUAGGCGGUUUGUCGCGUCUGCUGUGAAAUCUGGGGGCUCAACCCCCAGCCUGCAGUGGGUACGGGCAGACUAGAGUGCGGUAGGGGAGAUUGGAAUUCCUGGUGUAGCGGUGGAAUGCGCAGAUAUCAGGAGGAACACCGAUGGCGAAGGCAGAUCUCUGGGCCGUAACUGACGCUGAGGAGCGAAAGCAUGGGGAGCGAACAGGAUUAGAUACCCUGGUAGUCCAUGCCGUAAACGUUGGGAACUAGAUGUGGGGGCCAUUCCACGGUCUCCGUGUCGCAGCUAACGCAUUAAGUUCCCCGCCUGGGGAGUACGGCCGCAAGGCUAAAACUCAAAGGAAUUGACGGGGGCCCGCACAAGCGGCGGA